CUCAGCCCCUUCAAUCAGAGUCAGGAAAUAAAAGGCACCUGUGAGCCUCUGCUCUUUCUCUGCCUGCCUCAUGCCCUGUCCCUGCUGUGGCUGCACAUUGUUGCACUAGGGUCAAGGAUUUCCCUCCUGCUCUCCUGCCAUCCCAUAUACUUAGGCCUCAAGGUGGUCCUCUUGCCCCAUGGACUACUGCUGCUUUGCCUACUUGCUUUUUUUUAGACUUAUUUCCUUUUUGCUUAUUGCCUUAUUUGUUUAUCAAUUUGCCCUUUGUUAUGCCCAGUUGUGUUCAGUUGCCCAUUUGUUGAACAGCUGGCAUACUUAUUUAUGUUGUGAGUUGUUUUCUGUGAGUUUUCCUUUAUUUCAGGAGUGGAGUGCCAUAUUGCUGAGGGGCUAGGCACUUGUGGUGAGGUCCCUGCACUUUUUGCGUGUGAGUAGUUGCACUGGGACACCAUAGACUGCACCAUUGUUUUGUGUGAGGUUUGCUGUGUUUGCUGUGUUCACUGGUGAAUAGCGGUAGCACCCCUCCGUGUAGUCUGCCUCUCACAAGUGGCCUCCUCCUUUUUCUAUUUAGUUUCACUUAAGUUGGGCUGUGUUUUAGCUUUUGUAGUUGCCCCUUUUUAGAAUUAGUAUUCAGGCCUUUUUUAGAAUUAAAUGUAAUAAAGUAAUUUAUAAAUUGUCCAUAAUUUGUGCUGUUUUUACUAUUUUUUCCUUUUCCGCAGCUCC